CAGCAGCCACGGUAAUACGAAGGGGGCUAGCGUUGCUCGGAAUGACUGGGCGUAAAGGGCGCGUAGGCGGCGGCCAAAGUCAGGCGUGAAAUUCCCGGGCUCAACCUGGGGGCUGCGUUUGAUACUUGGUUGCUUGAGUGGGGAAGAGGGUUGUGGAAUUCCCAGUGUAGAGGUGAAAUUCGUAGAUAUUCGCAAGAACACCAGUGGCGAAGGCGGCUUACUGGUCCGGUACUGACGCUGAGGUGCGAAAGCGUGGGGAGCAAACAGGAUUAGAUACCCGAGUAGUCCCUGUCUCUUAUAC
rnacentral:rRNA from 1 species